rnacentral:lncRNA from 1 species
UUUCAUUGAUCACAGAAUCAAAAUUUUAUUGGUCACGACUCAUUCAUUCAUUGCAAAUGAUUAGAUUAAUUAGUCACGAUUAAUUGUUCGAUCACAACUUAAUCAAUUGUGAGUUACAGUCACAAUUUUUAGAUCACAUAUUACAAAUUCCUCAAUUCUUAGUCACAAUCAAUCAAAUAAUUGGUCACAAAUAUCGAACACCAUUUCUUCCCACCGACGACCAUCGUCGUGAUUGACACAUCUACCACCACUAUCACCAUUAUCACCACCAUAACAAUGGAGUACUACUGCCAACAAAUCCACCACCACCUCAUAAUGACUAGUCAACACCAUAAUACACUAACAAAUUCAUCACCACAACAGAGAAAACGGCGCCAACCAAAGCCACCACCACUAGAGCCAUGCCCACCACUGCAGGACAACCGAUCGACAUCACUGACAUUGCUAGAGCCACCACCAAGUCGACAUUAUCAUCGCACACAACACAUCGUACCCACAGCACCACCACCACCUAACCACCGCAUCGCACACAACACACUGUACCCACAGCACCACCACUGCAAUAGCACUCGCCUAUACCACUUGGUCGAUUCAAUAGAGCCUCCACCAAUCCACAACCUACACAACCAUUAACACCACCGCUAACACAACCAACACCACAUCUACUUCAAAUCUAAAAUCAAAGCCACCACCACCAAAUUCACCCUAGAUCCACAUCAAAUCGUCGUCUGCAGCCGUCGAACCAUCUUUCCUACAAUCGUGAGCCAAUUCCUUUGAGUCGUUGCCGUCGCCAAGACCUCCACGACCACCACCCGUUGAGGUUCACGGUGAUGCAGUGCCUACUGAAAUCGAGGUUCCUCACACGCUAUGACGCAUCGUCGCCUAGUGGUGUGACCACCGCUGUAAAUUUUGCUCGACCAUGAUCUUCUGGCUACCGUCUUCCAUCGACGGUGAGAUUAGAGAGAAGGCAGAGAGGUAUUGAGAGAAGGGGGAAUUGGGAAGAGGGAAGAGGGGAGAGGAAGAGAGAGAAAAUGAGAGAAAUGAAGACCACCUGCUGAUAGAUAUAGAGAGAGAAAAUGAAAG